UGGGGAAUAUUGGACAAUGGGGGCAACCCUGAUCCAGCCAUGCCGCGUGAGUGAUGAAGGCCUUCGGGUUGUAAAGCUCUCUUGGCGGGGACGAUGAUGACGGUACCCGCAGAAUAAGCCCCGGCUAACUUCGUGCCAGCAGCCGCGGUAAGACGAAGGGGGCUAGCGUUGUUCGGAAUUACUGGGCGUAAAGCGAGUGUAGGUGGUUAUCCAAGUUGGAUGUGAAAGCCUUGGGCUUAACCCAAGAAAUGCAUUCAGGACUGGAUGACUAGAGGACCGGAGAGGAUAGUGGAAUUCCCAGUGUAGCGGUGAAAUACGUAGAGAUUGGGAAGAACACCAGUGGCGAAGGCGGCUAUCUGGACGGUUUCUGACACUAAGACUCGAAAGCGUGGGGAGCAAACAG
rnacentral:rRNA from 1 species